CCUACGGGUGGCAGCAGUCGAGAAUCAUUCACAAUGGGGGAAACCCUGAUGGUGCGACGCCGCGUGGGGGAAUGAAGGUCUUCGGAUUGUAAACCCCUGUCAUGUGGGAGCAAAUUAAAAAGAUAGUACCACAAGAGGAAGAGACGGCUAACUCUGUGCCAGCAGCCGCGGUACUACAGAGGUCUCAAGCGUUUUUCGGAAUCACUGGGCGUAAAGCGUGCGUAGGCUGUUUCGUAAGUCGUGUGUGAAAGGCGCGGGCUCAACCCGCGGACGGCACAUGAUACUGCGAGACUAGAGUAAUGGAGGGGGAAGCGGAAUUCUCGGUGUAGCAGUGAAAUGCGUAGAUAUCGAGAGGAACACUCGUGGCGAAGGCGGGUUCCUGGACAUUAACUGACGCUGAGGCACGAAGGCCAGGGGAGCGAAAGGGAUUAGAUACCCGAGUAGUC
rnacentral:rRNA from 1 species